rnacentral:rRNA from 1 species
UACGGGGGGGGGCAAGCGUUGUUCGGAAUUACUGGGCGUAAAGGGCGCGUAGGCGGUUCGAUAAGUCAGCUGUGAAAACCAUGGGCUUAACUCAUGGCCUGCAGUUGAGACUGUCGGGCUGGAGUGUGGGAGAGGAGAGUGGAAUUCCUGGUGUAGCGGUGAAAUGCGUAGAUAUCAGGAGGAACACCGGUGGUGUAGACGGCUUUCUGGACCGUAACU